AUGAACAUUGGGAUGCAUUUAUCAUUUCAAAUUAGGGUUUUCAUCUUUUCUGCAUAUAUGCCCAGGAGUAGGAUUUCUGGGUUUUAUGGUAGUUCUACCGUAUGGAGACCCUCCAUACGGUUCUCCACAGUUGGCUGUACCCUCGCCUUUCUUCUUAAAGACGGCAAUCUGCUUUCAUUGCAGAGCUCCUUAGACCGGGAGUCCAUCCUGGCUAUCCUCCAGCUCCUCGGAGAUCUGCUUUCGGUCGGCACAGACAGGAGGAUCCGCUACAUGAUCAGCAAGGGUGGGAGUGAAGCCCUUCUGCGGACCCUGGUGGACACGGCCAGGACGGCCUCUCCAGACUAUGUCAUCCUCAAAUGGCACAUCCCAGGUGCCUGGGGGCUCAAGACUGGACCCAGAGCAGGAGUGGACUGCUUGGGGCAUGAGACGUAUGGAGGAUGGAGGGGACCUAUUCCAUGGAGGUUUUCAGUCACUGUAUUUAAAAACUUUAUUUGUUUAUUUUUGGCUGCUCUGGGUCUUUGUGCUGUGCAGGUUUUUUUCUCUAGUUGCAGCAAGAGGGGGCUAUUCAGCAGUUACAGUGCAUGGGCUUCUCCUUGCGGCGGCUUUUCUUGUUGCAGAGCAUGGGUGCUAGGUGCUUGGGCUCAGUGGUUGUGGGGCAUGGGCUUAGUUGCUCCGUGGUAUGUGGAAUCUUCCUGCAGCAGGGAUCAAACCCAUGCCUCUCACAUUGGCAGGCGGAUUCUUAACCGCUGGACCACCAAAGAAGCCCUCCCUAAAUCCUCACUGUGUUUAGGGCAUGCUCAAAUAUAUAUGACCUUACUUAGGUAAUUGAGUCUGUGGAGACUGUUUCCAAAUAACAUAACAUUCUGAAGUUCCAGGCAGACAUGACUUUUGGGGAGCCAGUUAUUUUUUUUUUCAUUAAUUUUUUUUAAUCAUUUGUUAAGUUUAUUAAGGACUUCCCUGGUGCCUCAGACAGUAAAGAAUCUGCCUGCAAUCCAGGAUAUUGGUGUUCAAUCCCUGGGUUGAGAAGAUCCCCUGAAGAAGGAAAUGACAACCUGCUCCAGCAUUCUUGCCUAGAGAAUUCCAUAGACAGAGGAGCCUGGUGGGCGACAGUCCAUGGGGUGGCAAAUAGUUGGACACAACUAAGUCAUUGCUUAAAACAAUUUUUUAUUGGAAUAUAGUUGUUUUACAAUGUUGUGUUAGUUUCUGCUCUGUAGCAAAGUGAAUUAGCUAUAUAGAUAUCACCUCUUUUCUGGCUUCCCUUCCCAUUUAGGUCACCACAGAGCAUUGAGUAGAGUUCCCUGUGUUGCACAGUAGGUUCUCACUAUAAUCUAUUUUAUACAUAGCAUCAAUAGCAUAUAUACAUUAAUCCCAAUCUCCCAAUUCAUCCCACCCCUCCUUUCCUGGAAGGACAGUUUUCAACUCACUAGUGAUAUAGUGUAUACUGUUAGUUGCUCAGUCGUGCCCAACUCUUUGUGACCCUAUGGACUGCAGCCCACCAGGGUCCUCUGUCCAUGGGAUUUUCCAGGCAAGGAUUCUGAAGUGGUUUUCCAUUUCCUUCUCCAGGGGAUCUUCCCAACCCAGGGAUUGAACCCAGGUCUCCUGCGCUGCAGGCAGAUUCUUUACCAACUGAGCUACUAGAGAAACCCAAAUAAGUCAUAUAGAAGUGGUGCUUCCCUGGUUAAAGACGAGAUGGGGGUUUAGAAUUCUUUUCACUUAUGCUCCACACCCAUUUCUAUUUCCACAUGGAAGACCCUGAAACACCUCCCUAAAACCCUAGGACCUUUUGGAGCACAGUUGAAAAAGCCUGGGCACCCAGGCUGCAUGUAAAUGUUACAAAUUAGUCAUAACAGUUAGGAUCUAUGUGUGCAGUCUUAGACCACAGGGCAUCCCUGGUGGCUCAGAUGGUAAAGAAUCUGCCUGCAAUGCAGGAGACGGGUUCGAUCUGUGGGUUGGGUCAGGAAGAUCCCCCGGGAUCCCCCAGAGAAGGGAAUGGCUAUCCACUCCAGUAUUGCUGCCUAGAGAAUUCCAUGGACGGAGGAGCCUGGCGGGCUACAGUCUGUGGGGUCACAAAGAGUCAGACACGACUGAGCGACUAACACAACACUUUACGCAGACCACAAUCGAGAAGCUCAGCUCCUCUGAAUGUUGUGAAGGCAGCAGCCGCUGAAGGCACAGGGCUCUAGGGGUACUCUUUCCUUUCAACGUUUCGAACUCUGCUUUGAGUCCCUUCAACAUUUCACAAACAAUGACUGAGACCCAGGCAUCAGCCAGCACCUGCAGGAUCAUGUUCCAGACAAAACACAUAGAAUUCACCCACUGAUGACUCAGCAGAUAUUUACUGCAUAUCUCCCGGGGCUGUGCACUGUUCUAGGCACACGGGAAUCCCACUGUCACCAAGACAGAUAAGGGAGUCUGCUCUUGUGGGAUUUACAUUCAAGAGGGGAAGGGCAGAAAGUACCUAAUUAGCUAGAUAAUAGCAGAUGGUGAUAAUUAACUAGGUAGUAACUGGAAGGAAAAGAAAGGGUGAUAUUCCUCUAAGAUGGUGUAGACAGAGAGAGGGGACAUUUGAGCCUAAUCUUAAAGGAUGAGAGGAAGUGAAUGAAACCAAGAGUGCGCUAAGUGAACUACAGGAAGACAGAAUUAAUAUGAGGUACACCCUAAAUGGCAGAGGCUGGGGACUCAGACUUGGGUUUUAGGCUUGAAAGUGAAAGCGUUAGUUGUUUGUUGGGUCUGCCUCUUGUGACCCCAUGGGUUAUAGCCCGCCAGGUUCCUCUGUCCAUGGAAUCCUCCAGGAAAGAAUACUGGAGUGAGUUGCCACUCUCUUCUCCUGGGAACCUUUCUGAUCCAGGGAUUGAACCUGGAUCUCCUGCCUUUGAAGUGGAUUCUUUACCAUCUAAACCACCAGGGAAGCCCUGGCUUGAUGCUUAUUAGCAGUGUGACCUUGGACAAGUUGCCAUUGGGCUCUCAUCGACAAAAUGGGUCUCAGUAUAUAAUUCUUGGGUCACUUGCUGUAAGGAUUAAGCAAGGUUGUAUGUCACCUGCUUAGACUGUAGGGUCAGAGACUUGACAAAUAAGAGUCAUGUAGGUUUUAUAGGAGAAAGAGAUGAACCAGGGAAGUGAUUUUCAAGUUAUAGACCCCAAUACUACCAUUGCCAUAAUUACAUUACCACACCUUCUGCCAUCAAAGACUGUAAUCCUAGAUGUUAGCAUUCAAGCUGUCAGGGGCUGAGCUGAACAGAACAGCAAUGAGGUUGGCUGCUCAUGAAUGGAGCUGGACAGAUAUCUUUCUCUUCUGAUAAAGGGGAUGGGUCAUAUGAGCUCAGUCACAGUCUCUUUGCCUGGUGUCCUUUGGUCCAGAGAUAAAUACUGGUAAUUGAGGCGUAGGAUGUUACCUGUUUUACUCAUUUCUACCUGUGAUGAAUCUGAUAGUGACUGUAUUCUUGCUAACAUAAACAUGAUUUGGGCAUUGCACUUUGGAAAGGACAGAGAUAAAUGUGACAGGUGGCAUAGUCAUUUGUUAUCCUGUGAAAACCAAGAGCAUAGAAUAAAAAGUACUUUCUAUUUAUUUCUUAUCCUUAUUCAUUAUUAUUAAAAUAAUGAUGACUCACCCACAAGUCUGAAUAUCAGGUUUAUUUUGAUCAAUAUUUUCAAG
ensembl:lincRNA